AGGACGAACGCUGGCGGCGUGCUUAACACAUGCAAGUCGAACGAUGAAGGGGAGCUUGCUCCUUGGAUUAGUGGCGAACGGGUGAGUAACACGUGAGUAACCUGCCCUUGACUCUGGGAUAAGCACUGGAAACGGUGUCUAAUACCGGAUAUGACCCUCGGCCGCAUGGCCAGGGGGUGGAAAGAAUUUCGGUCAAGGAUGGACUCGCGGCCUAUCAGGUAGUUGGUGAGGUAAUGGCUCACCAAGCCUACGACGGGUAGCCGGCCUGAGAGGGUGACCGGCCACACUGGGACUGAGACACGGCCCAGACUCCUACGGGAGGCAGCAGUGGGGAAUAUUGCACAAUGGGCGAAAGCCUGAUGCAGCAACGCCGCGUGAGGGACGACGGCCUUCGGUUGUAACCUCUUUAGUAGGAAGAAGCGUAAAGUGACGGUACCUGCAGAAAAGCACCGGCUAACUACGUGCCAGCAGCCGC
rnacentral:rRNA from 1 species